AUAUGCUUCUUUCCUCUUUUUAUACAAAAUCACAAUCAGAGAGAUGCUCGAUUACUGGAUUUGUGGGACUAUGAACAAGCUAUAGCGUAUAGGAUCAUAUUAUACUUGGGCAUUUGGUGGUUGUUUGCAGUGUAUUGGUACACAGUGGUGGGGUGCAUGGUGGACAUUACUAGGCCUUUAUCAGGCCGAUGCUUUUCGAUCAUCGGUACGCACCUGGUUCUCAUUUUUUUGUCAUGCAUCCACUGAAAUGUGCAGACAAUUUUUGCAUUUAUGGACAAUUUAAAUUUGAUUGUCAUGAUUUUAUUACAUCAAUCCUAGUUGUGGUUUUACAUUCAGAAAGUUUCAGAAGCAUGUAGGACACAAAGUGGGUAACUUAGGUUGCUGAUCAUUGCUAAGCAUUAUUCUGUUAACAUGUCAUUAAGAUUUGUGUUUCUCAUGUACAACAAAUGAUGAGAGGGUAGAACAUAUAAAGAGGGCACUGGAAGUGCAGUAUGGUGGGGAAGAGAUAUCUUGUGCAAGCUCUAAGAAGAGGCGGCCUCCAACUUCUUCGGCAUGCCCUUCAAGGGCAUGAAGACAGGUAUGAUUUGCUUUCAUUGUGAAAAGCUGGAGAUUGUACUGCAUUAUCUAUGAGAUAAUAAUUUGUUUGAAAUAUAUAAGGUUCUUGAGGUUUGCUGUAUAUUUUGUCCUAGAGAAGCUAGAACUUCAGGUCUAUCAGAGAUUGUUGAAAAAAAAAUGUAAGUUCCCAAGCAACUAUAAAUCUGCCCUCUGACAGUAUAAUUUCUCUGAAGAUUGAUUUCAUGAUGAUGAUAUCUUCAUUGUGCAAGUUACAUUAUCCAAAAGCAGAAGGACCCAAGCAAAGCUUACCAGCUGAAGUUGGAAGUAAUUGUCAAAGCAUUGAAAUGGCUUGAAAUGGUCAUUGAUGUGGAUGAGGUGGAAAGCAUAAUGGCGAUACUAAUAUACAAAAGUCUGGUAAGGGGAUACUCUGCACACAAGAGUAAAGUUGUGGUUUUAAGCAAGCAAGAUCCUUUCUCCUAGUUAAAUAGAAAGCCUGUCAACUCAUUGAGAAAAUUGACAGGAGCUGUGAUUGUGACAUGGUAUGCAAUUGUGAUGAGCUGGCCAGUUCAAAGUA